CAGGGAGACAACAAAAUGUUUAAUAUUAUUAUUUUGUCACCUUAGGUCGAUCGGUAUCUCACAUUCUUGAUUUAUUUAAGGAUUUUAUUUCCUAAGUUUUUUCUAGGUCACACCCAUUACUUUUCCUGGGCCAUUAGCUCAGGUGGUUAGAGCGCACCCCUGAUAAGGGUGAGGUCCCUGGUUCAAGUCCAGGAUGGCCCAUAUCUCUAUGUUGGGGGUAUAGCUCAGUUGGUAGAGCGCCUGCUUUGCAAGCAGGAUGUCAGCGGUUCGAGUCCGCUUACCUCCACUGAUUACCACCUCUUCCAUAAUUUUCAUAAAGGAAAUGUUUUGAGUAGUGAUCAAAUUCUGAACGAAUCUAGCUUCCUAAUGUAAUCAUUAAGAUGCUGGACUCAUUGAAUUAAAUUCAUUGUUUUCAGAGAACCUUGACAACUGCAUAGAUUAUUUUUAAAGACAAUAAGCAUCUUUAUGAUGCAGAUUUAUUAUUUGUGCAAAUGCAUUAAUAACAAUUCUAUUAAGCUGAUGCUUCAAUUAUGAAGUUAUU
rnacentral:tRNA from 1 species